UACGUAGGGGGCGAGCGUUGUCCGGAGUUACUGGGCGUAAAGCGCACGCAGGCGGUCUGUUAAGUUUGGAGUGACAGUUGGUGGCUCAACCACCAAAGUGCUUUGAAAACUGAUAGACUUGAGGGCUUCAGAGGGACACGGAAUUCCGGGUGGAGUGGUGAAAUGCGUAGAGAUCCGGAGGAACACCAAAGGCGAAGGCAGUGUCCUGGGGA
rnacentral:rRNA from 1 species